CACCCCUGGCAAUGGGCAAAGAGACAUCUUGUUAGUGAUGUUUGUUCUUACAUCAGUUGGGGUAGAGCAGAUGGUAAUCCUUUGUUCAUCCUAGCUUGAUGCCUGGCUUGGUGGCCAAAGCUGUCUUAUGCCUAAGGCUCACAA